AUUGAACGCUGGCGGCAGGCCUAACACAUGCAAGUCGAGCGAGUGGCGGACGGGUGCGUAAUGUAUGGGGACUGCCCGAUAGAGGGGGAUAACUACUGGAAACGGUGGCUAAUACCGCAUACUAACGGAUAACCCAUAUGGGAUUAGCUAGUAGGUGGGGUAAAGGCUCACCUAGUCGACGAUCUCUAGCUGGUCUGAGAGGAUGACCAGCCACACUGGGACUGAGACACGUCCCAGAUUCCUACGGAGGCAGCAGUGGGGAAUAUUGCACAAUGGGCGCAAGCCUGAUGCAUCCCUGCCGCGUGUAUGAAGAAGGCCUUAGGGUUGUAAAGUACUUUCAGCGGGGAGGCUUUACCCGCAGAAGAAGCACCGGCUAACUCCGUGCCAGCAGCCGCGUUAAUC
rnacentral:rRNA from 1 species